AACGAACGCUGGCGGCAUGCCUAACACAUGCAAGUCGAACGAGACCUUCGGGUCUAGUGGCGCACGGGUGCGUAACGCGUGGGAACCUGCCUUUAGGUUCGGAAUAACUCAAAGAAAUUUGAGCUAAUACCGGAUGAUGUCUUCGGACCAAAGAUUUAUCGCCUUUAGAUGGGCCCGCGUUGGAUUAGCUAGUUGGUGGGGUAAAGGCCUACCAAGGCGACGAUCCAUAGCUGGUCUGAGAGGAUGAUCAGCCACACUGGGACUGAGACACGGCCCAGACUCCUACGGGAGGCAGCAGUGGGGAAUAUUGGACAAUGGGCGAAAGCCUGAUCCAGCAAUGCCGCGUGAGUGAUGAAGGCCUUAGGGUUGUAAAGCUCUUUUACCCGAGAUGAUAAUGACAGUAUCGGGAGAAUAAGCUCCGGCUAACUCCGUG
rnacentral:rRNA from 1 species